UACGUAGGGGGCAAGCGUUGUCCGGAAUCAUUGGGCGUAAAGCGCGUGUAGGCGGCCCGAUAAGUCCGCUGUGAAAGCCCCGGGCUCAACCUGGGAACUGCAUUGGAAACUGGCGGGCUUGAGUGUGGCAGAGGGGGGGUGGAAUUCCACGUGUAGCAGUGAAAUGCGUAGAGAUGUGGAGGAACACCGAUGGCGAAGGCAGCCCCCUGGGCUAACACUGACGCUCAGGCACGAAAGCGUGGGGAGCAAACAGG
rnacentral:rRNA from 1 species